rnacentral:rRNA from 1 species
UACGUAGGGUCCAAGCGUUAAUCGGAAUUACUGGGCGUAAAGCGUGCGCAGGCGGCUUCGCAAGUCAGACGUGAAAUCCCCGGGCUUAACCUGGGAAUGGCGUUUGAAACUACGGAGCUGGAGUGUGGCAGAGGGAGGUAGAAUUCCACGUGUAGCGGUGAAAUGCGUAGAUAUGUGGAGGAAUACCGAUGGCGAAGGCAGCCUCCUGGGCCAACACUGACGCUGAGGCGCGAAAGCGUGGGUAGCAAACAGG